rnacentral:rRNA from 1 species
GCGUGCUUACACAUGCAGUCGAACGAUGAUGCCCAGCUUGCUGGGUGGAUUAGUGGCGAACGGGUGAGUAACACGUGAGUAACCUGCCCCUGACUCUGGGAUAAGCGUUGGAAACGACGUCUAAUACUGGAUAUGAUCACUGGCCGCAUGGUCUGGUGGUGGAAAGAUUUUUUGGUUGGGGAUGGACUCGCGGCCUAUCAGCUUGUUGGUGAGGUAAUGGCUCACCAAGGCGACGACGGGUAGCCGGCCUGAGAGGGUGACCGGCCACACUGGGACUGAGACACGGCCCAGACUCCUACGGGAGGCAGCAGUGGGGAAUAUUGCACAAUGGGCGAAAGCCUGAUGCAGCAACGCCGCGUGAGGGAUGACGGCCUUCGGGUUGUAAACCUCUUUUAGUAGGGAAGAAGCGAAAGUGACGGUACCUGCAGAAAAAGCACCGGCUAACUACGUGCCAGCAGCCGCGGUAAUACGUAGGGUGCAAGCGUUGUCCGGAAUUAUUGGGCGUAAAGAGCUCGUAGGCGGUUUGUCGCGUCUGCUGUGAAAUCCCGAGGCUCAACCUCGGGCUUGCAGUGGGUACGGGCAGACUAGAGUGCGGUAGGGGAGAUUGGAAUUCCUGGUGUAGCGGUGGAAUGCGCAGAUAUCAGGAGGAACACCGAUGGCGAAGGCAGAUCUCUGGGCCGUAACUGACGCUGAGGAGCGAAAGCAUGGGGAGCGAACAGGAUUAGAUACCCUGGUAGUCCAUGCCGUAAACGUUGGGCGCUAGAUGUAGGGACCUUUCCACGGUUUCUGUGUCGUAGCUAACGCAUUAAGCGCCCCGCCUGGGGAGUACGGCCGCAAGGCUAAAACUCAAAGGAAUUGACGGGGGCCCGCACAAGCGGCGGAGCAUGCGGAUUAAUUCGAUGCAACGCGAAGAACCUUACCAAGGCUUGACAUACACCGGAAACGGCCAGAGAUGGUCGCCCCCUUGUGGUCGGUGUACAGGUGGUGCAUGGUUGUCGUCAGCUCGUGUCGUGAGAUGUUUGGGUUAAGUCCCGCAACGAGCGCAACCCUCGUUCUAUGUUGCCAGCGGGUUAUGCCGGGGACUCAUAGGAGACUGCCGGGGUCAACUCCGAGGAAAGGGGGGGGAUGACGUCAAAUCAUCAUGCCCCUUAUGGCUUGGGGUUCCCGCCUGGUUCAAUGGGCCGGGCAAAGGG